UACAGAGGUCUCAAGCGUUGUUCGGAUUCAUUGGGCGUAAAGGGUGCGUAGGUGGCGCUGUAAGUCGGGUGUGAAAUUUCGGAGCUUAACUCCGAAACUGCAUUCGAUACUGCGGUGCUUGAGGACUGGAGAGGAGACUGGAAUUCAUGGUGUAGCAGUGAAAUGCGUAGAGAUCAUGAGGAAGACCAGUGGCGAAGGCGGGUCUCUGGACAGUUCCUGACACUGAGGCACGAAGCCAGGGGAGCAAACGGG
rnacentral:rRNA from 1 species